rnacentral:rRNA from 1 species
GCCUAACACAUGCAAGCUCGAGCGGUAACAGAAAGUAGCUUGCUACUUUGCUGACGAGCGGCGGACGGGUGAGUAAUGCUUGGGAACAUGCCUUGAGGUGGGGGACAACAGUUGGAAACGACUGCUAAUACCGCAUAAUGUCUACGGACCAAAGGGGGCUUCGGCUCUCGCCUUUAGAUUGGCCCAAGUGGGAUUAGCUAGUUGGUGAGGUAAUGGCUCACCAAGGCAACGAUCCCUAGCUGGUUUGAGAGGAUGAUCAGCCACACUGGAACUGAGACACGGUCCAGACUCCUACGGGAGGCAGCAGUGGGGAAUAUUGCACAAUGGGCGCAAGCCUGAUGCAGCCAUGCCGCGUGUGUGAAGAAGGCCUUCGGGUUGUAAAGCACUUUCAGUCAGGAGGAAAGAUUAGUAGUUAAUACCUGCUAGUUGUGACGUUACUGACAGAAGAAGCACCGGCUAACUCCGUGCCAGCAGCCGCGGUAAUACGGAGGGUGCGAGCGUUAAUCGGAAUUACUGGGCGUAAAGCGUACGCAGGCGGUUUGUUAAGCGAGAUGUGAAAGCCCCGGGCUCAACCUGGGAACUGCAUUUCGAACUGGCAAACUAGAGUGUGAUAGAGGGUGGUAGAAUUUCAGGUGUAGCGGUGAAAUGCGUAGAGAUCUGAAGGAAUACCGAUGGCGAAGGCAGCCACCUGGGUCAACACUGACGCUCAUGUACGAAAGCGUGGGGAGCAAACAGGAU